rnacentral:rRNA from 1 species
GAUGAACGCUGACAGAAUGCUUAACACAUGCAAGUCAACUUGAAUUUGGGUUUUUAACUUAGGUUUGGGUGGCGGACGGGUGAGUAACGCGUAAAGAACUUGCCUCACAGCUAGGGACAACAUUUGGAAACGAAUGCUAAUACCUAAUAUUAUGAUAAUAGGGCAUCCUAUAAUUAUGAAAGCUAUAAGCGCUGUGAGAGAGCUUUGCGUCCCAUUAGCUAGUUGGAGAGGUAACGGCUCACCAAGGCGAUGAUGGGUAGCCGGCCUGAGAAGGUGAUCGGCCACAAGGGGACUGAGACACGGCCCUUACUCCUACGGGAGGCAGCAGUGGGGAAUAUUGGACAAUGGACCGAGAGUCUGAUCCAGCAAUUCUGUGUGCACGAUGAAGUUUUUCGGAAUGUAAAGUGCUUUCAGUUGGGAAGAAACAAAUGACGGUACCAACAGAAGAAGUGACGGCUAAAUACGU